UACGGGGGGAGCAAGCGUUGUUCGGAUUUACUGGGCGUAAAGGGCGCGUAGGCGGCCACCGCAAGUCGACUGUGAAAUCUCCGGGCUUAACCCGGAAAGGUCAGCCGAUACUGCGGGGCUAGAGUGCGGUAGGGGUAAAGGGAAUUCCCGGUGUAGCGGUGAAAUGCGUAGAGAUCGGGAAGAACAUCGGUGGCGAAAGCGCUCUACUGGACCGCAACUGACACUCAGGGACGAAAGCUAGGGGAGCGAAUGGG
rnacentral:rRNA from 1 species